CGUCAAUGUACUGCUGAGGAGAAAUCAUGUGAAUGUGUGUAUCAAAAUGUCCAGGAGUACAUAUUGUAUGCUCACCAGCCGUUGCUUCCGUACAUGCAGAUACAAGCAGAUUUCUAUCAACAUCAUCCAUUACUAGAGGAUUACCAGCUUUUCCAAUACCUGCAAUUUUACCAUCUUUUAUACCUAUAUCACCUUUCACUAUCCCAAUUACAGGAUCGAGCACUACAGCAUUUGUAAUAACAAAGUCUAAAGCACCUGAUGCAUUAGUUACGCCGGGUGUUUGAGCUUGACCAUCUCUGAG
rnacentral:lncRNA from 1 species